AGCGAACGCUGGCGGCAGGCUUAACACAUGCAAGUCGAGCGGGCACUUCGUUGUCAGCGGCAGACGGGUGAGUAACACGUGGGAACGUACCCGUUGGUUCGGAAUAACGCUGGUAAACUAGCGCUAAUACCGGAUACGCCCUUUUGGGGAACGGGUUGCUGCCGCAGGAUCGGCCCGGGUCUGUUUAGCUGGUUGGUGGGGUAAUGGCCUGCCAUGGCGACGAUCGGUAGCUGGUCGGAGAGGAAGGUCUGCCACACUGGGACUGAGACACGGCCCAGACUCCUACGGGAGGCAGCAGUGUGGAAUAUUGGACAAUGGGCGCAAGCCUGAUCCAGCCAUGCCGGGUGAGUGAUGAAGGCCUUAGGGUUGUAAAGCUCUUUUGUCCGGGACGAUAAUGACGGUACCGGAAGAAUAAGCCCCGGCUAACUUCGUG
rnacentral:rRNA from 1 species